rnacentral:rRNA from 1 species
UACGGAGGGAGCUAGCGUUGUUCGGAAUUACUGGGCGUAAAGGGCGCGUAGGCGGCCGAUCAAGUCAGAUGUGAAAGUCCUGGGCUUAACCUGGGGACUGCAUUUGAUACUGAUUGGCUUGAAUUCGGGAGAGGAUAGCGGAAUUCCCAGUGUAGAGGUGAAAUUCGUAGAUAUUGGGAAGAACACCGGUGGCGAAGGCGGCUAUCUGGACCGACAUUGACGCUGAGGCGCGAAAGCGUGGGGAGCAAACAGG